rfam:Citrus sinensis cultivar Ridge Pineapple sweet orange scaffold00410_contig_19, whole genome shotgun sequence.
AUACCAUGAUGACGACAUCUCCUAUGUAAUUCCUUAAAUAUGUCUCACGCAUCAUACAAACUCUCAUCUUCAAAUUGAUGAAAAUAUGUGAUCUCAUUCCUUAAUUU